rnacentral:tRNA from 1 species
CGAGAUGUAGCUCAGUUGGUAGAGCAGGAAACAGUCCCUUUCCGCCCGUUGCCUUGUUUUUUGAUAUAUACAAACAAGUGUCGUAAAGAAGAGUUACUUCGGUAGAAAUGUUAUAUACAUUAUUGUGGGUUCAAAUCCCACUAUCCAU